AGAGUUUGAUCAUGGCUCAGAACGAACGCUGGCGGCAUGCCUAACACAUGCAAGUCGAACGAGACCUUCGGGAUUAGUGGCAGACGGGUGAGUAACACGUGGGAACGUGCCUUUUGGUUCGGAACAACUCAGGGAAACUUGAGCUAAUACCGGAUGUGCCCUUCGGGGGAAAGAUUUAUCGCCUUAGGAUCGGCCCGCGUCGGAUUAGCUAGUUGGUGGGGUAAAAGCCUACCAAGGCGACGAUCCGUAGCUGGUCUGAGAGGACGACCAGCCACACUGGGACUGAGACACGGCCCAGACUCCUACGGGAGGCAGCAGUGGGGAAUCUUGGACAAUGGGCGCAAGCCUGAUCCAGCCAUGCCGCGUGGAUGAUGAAGGCCCUAGGGUUGUAAAAUCCUUUCGUCAGGGACGAUAAUGACGGUACCUGAAGAAGAAGCCCCGGCUAACUUCGUGCCAGCAGCCGCGGUAAUACGAAGGGGGCUAGCGUUGUUCGGAUUUAC
rnacentral:rRNA from 1 species